UACGUAGGGUGCGAGCGUUGUCCGGAAUUAUUGGGCGUAAAGGGCUCGUAGGCGGUUUGUCGCGUCGGGAGUGAAAUCCACUGGCUUAACUGGUGGCUUGCUUUCGAUACGGGCAGACUGGAGGUAUGCAGGGGAGAACGGAAUACCUGGUGUAGCGGUGAAAUGCGCAGAUAUCAGGAGGAACACCGGUGGCGAAGGCGGUUCUCUGGGCAUGUCCUGACGCUGAGGAGCGAAAGUGUGGGGAGCGAACAGG
rnacentral:rRNA from 1 species